UCGUGUCUCCUCACGCAUAGCAUAGGGUUCCUCUCGAGAGAGGUGCGCCGCCGCCGCCGGAUUCCUCCUCCCCGGCGAAAAGUCCUUCCCCUACCUUAUUCCUUCAUGGUGAGCGAUCUCCAGCCCCCUACCUCCCGCAUCUUCGCCGCCAGCCUCCUCCCACGCGCGCUAGGGUAGCUUGCGGCCUACCAUCUCUGCGGCGCCGCCUGCGACUUCACCAGCAUGUAGAUGCGGGGAGCUGGACAUGGAGGAUUGCCUAUGCCAGGCUGAGGGGUCGACCUGGAAGCCUCCUUGAACGCCCACGAUGGAUCUGGCCAUCAACGAGUAGGCCGAGCCUCCUGCUCCGGCCACGGCCAUCCUGACGUCGGAUCUGGUGCUCGUGCUAUGUCUGUCUCCUCGUGCAACCCCUUCCCCAUGUUUAUUUUGCCUCCGUCCUACCCCGCUCUGCAUCAACUAACUCGGCGCUACAUGAUCCUGGGGCAGCGAGGUUGAUCGGAUGGUGUUCGUCAUGUUAGGAAGAUGAGUGUGUAACUCGUGGAGUGCGAGCUGUUGCGUGUUAGUAAGUGGCCGUGACCUUGAUGGGUUGGGGCUUGCCUCCCACACUUCUCUUCCUCGUGUACAACAACCAUGGCGGCUCCUACGUGUCGAAUUGUUGAUGGAGGCUUCAUGUCGUCCUUCUCAAGGAGCUGAGGUUGGCCAUUAAGGAUCUGGGGUGAAGGUCAUGUCAUCUCUUCUCGUGGCUCUAAUGCCCACUGCUUCCACUGCUAAUAUUUUGAGCUCUUUGAUCUGAGCAAAAACCAUGGGAAGUAUGAAUCACUACAUGCUGGAGAAGUUCCUGGAGGCGAUCAGGAGCAGAGGCAUCAAGAUAUGCCCUGGGUGCAAUGCCUCGCAGGCUGUAGCACCUGCCUAGUUAUGCAUAUGUCGGCAAGACAAGUUUUGCCUGCUCUGCUUCAUAUCAGUCUCUUCUCAUCGCGGCCAGAGCUUGGAAGCAAUUCAACUAGGCACCAUGACGCUGGAUGGAAGUACAAAUUCUUGUCGGAAGGUUCUUAUAUAUGGUCUCUAGAAACACUCGCACGCAGACUCUCUGCCCUCGUUCGCCCGCCGCCGCCCUUCGUCCCUUCGCCGCCGCCGCUCCAUGCCUUCGCCACCGCCCUCGCACAUCAAAGCCGCCGCCCUCCAUCGGAUGAUCCACUUCAAGAGACGCCGCCGACCCCGUUGAGGACCAGCCAUUGAUCACGUCCAGGAUCCGACGCUGAUUCAGGAGCCGCACACCACCGCAGAUCCAUCCCCUGAAAAAUCGGGACUCUUGACAUGGGCGAUCGAGAGGGGAUCAAAAGGAGUAACUUUCACCUGUGGCCGCAAAGGGCCUUUACACCGCCGCCGAGAGCCGCGCCCGGGUGGUGCGCUGUGAGCGGCCAAUGGCCGCCGCUUUAGUAGCCCACCAAGAGCCGUCAUCGUGCAUUGGCUGUGUGUCGACUCGAACCGAGGAGCUGGCCAUGGCCGAGGGCCAAGGCGAGCGCGGCUGUGGGGACUGCCGAGUGAGCGAACGCGCGCGUGCCUGAGGGCGGCCGCUGCAUGCGCUGCAAUGGCGAGAGCGAAAGGAGGAAGAGGAGACCCCUGGUGGCGCGGACAUCCAACGACCCGGACAUCGUUCUCCCAUGACGUUCUCCUCCAAGCCCGAAUCCAGUGCCUCCUCAAGAAAUGGAGAAGCGCCAUGGUUGGCUGUUGCUUGAGGAAAUGAGGAGAUGCAUAUGUGGGCAAUGUUGCUGGAGCACUUCCAUAUUCUAUAAGGCCGAUGCCAAGGAAGGCGAGGGUCCUGCGACUGGCUGCUGCUAGGGAUAGCAGGCAGUAGAGAAGUUUCUUUCUGAUUUGAAGUGUGCAGAUUGGGACAACUCGCUUUCUGUGAGCAACCAUCUGAAUGCCAAAAUGUCAUAAAUGGCUGUGAAUAGACCGGAUAUGAUUCGUACAUCAGGGCUCAAGAUAUGUGGUUUUGGAUUAGGGUAGGACUCAAGAUAUGUGACUUCCAAGGGAACUGCAAACUCAAGAUAUGUGGUCUUGGACUAGCAAGAUUUGCAUCCAGUGACACCCCUACAACAGUUUUCUGGAUGGACCAUGUCGCCACCUGAUGGUAUAGAGCUCAUGAACUCUGUAAUGUUCUAUCAUUACCAAGUGUUGUUAACAAUUUCCAGAGGCUAACUUAGAGGAAGAUAGAGGAAAGAGCAGGGCAGUUGAGGGGAAGUACAUUUCUCACUUGAGGUAACUUACAUUAUUAUAUUUCUCCGAAAUGUAAUUGAUUAUAUAUAUAGGCUCUCAAUUAUUUUGUGCUGCCAAUGACAUACAUAGUUUGUGUUAAAAUGAUUAGGAGUACCAAAAGGCAUUAGUCAGUUAAUGUGAAGUGUUUCUGUAUUUAGAAAUCUUGAAAUUGGCUCUUUUCAUUAUCAUUUUCAUGAUCCUAAUGUCUAUGCGAAGUAUUUCUGUAUUAAAAAACUUGAAAUCGGCUCUUUUGGUGAAACGGCAAGAAGCACUUUAGCCUCGUUGCAUUAAAGAUGAGAAGAACAUAAUGUACACGUGUGGGUGGACGCAAACAUCCCCCCGUAGGGGGCAAACUGGGCGCAAGCAUGAAAGAAGAGGCACAUCGGCCAACAAACACCCCUUUCUCCGAAUGUACAACCCAUAAACUCGGGCCUGAAUUCGUAGGCGUGCAUCAUCGUAGAUCUUCUAAAACACUUGGUGCACGCUGCAUUACAAAGACCUUCUUGCCACAAUUGGCUUGUGCUUGUAGAUGGAUGCCAAUUAUGGAGCGUGGAGAUGAAUCAAAUGGAGAAAUAAUUUCUACUCCCUCCGUCCCUAAUAUAAGAUGUUACUACAACCAAUAUACAUCUUAUAUUAUAGGAUGGAGGGAGUAUGUGCAUAUCCAGUAAAAAAUUGAUAUGAUUUGUACUAACAAUCUGAUGUGAUUUUGUAGACACUUUUUUUUCAGAUUACUAGACAUAUAGGAAGAAUUAUGAAACUAAAAUGGGAUGUUACUGUUAGCAUUUGAUGACAAAGUGAGGCCAAUAUAGAAAAAACUAAGCUUUUGGGGACUAACCACGGAAUAUUAGUACUAUAUGCUGAUAUUGACAAGCCGCACUAUCUUCUCCAGUGGCAUGGGCAACGUGUAUUAUGUCGAAGUGUGUGGGAUUAUUGAUUUUAUGUCUUUAUUUUUACUAAUAUAUAUUUAUACAAGGACGACAAUCAACAAAAUGUGUAUUUCUCAUUCAACCAGUGUCCUCGCAUGUAAAGACAAGUAAUGCUUCGAGCACAUGAGAAAGAAAACAGUACUUAAUAAUUUUA